rnacentral:rRNA from 1 species
GUGGGGAAUUUUGGACAAUGGGGGCAACCCUGAUCCAGCCAUGCCGCGUGCGGGAAGAAGGCCUUCGGGUUGUAAACCGCUUUUGUCAGGGAAGAAAUCCUUUGGGUUAAUACCUCGGAGGGAUGACGGUACCUGAAGAAUAAGCACCGGCUAACUACGUGCCAGCAGCCGCGGUAAUACGUAGGGUGCGAGCGUUAAUCGGAAUUACUGGGCGUAAAGCGUGCGCAGGCGGUUUUGUAAGAUCGAUGUGAAAUCCCCGGGCUCAACCUGGGAACUGCAUUGGUGACUGCAAGGCUGGAGUGCGGCAGAGGGGGAUGGAAUUCCGCGUGUAGCAGUGAAAUGCGUAGAUAUGCGGAGGAACACCGAUGGCGAAGGCAAUCCCCUGGGCCUGCACUGACGCUCAUGCACGAAAGCGUGGGGAGCAAACAGGAUUAGAUACCCGGGUAGUCC